GGAGGGGUGGCAGAGCGGUUGAAUGCACCGGUCUUGAAAACCGGCAUGGCUUCACGGCCAUCGUGGGUUCGAAUCCCACCUCCUCCGCCA
rnacentral:tRNA from 1 species